rnacentral:rRNA from 1 species
GCUUCGCGGCCGGCUGAAAUAUUUUUUUCACCCAUGUCUUUUGCGCACUUGUUGUUUCCUGGGAAGGUUCGCCAGCCACCAGGACCAAACCAUAAACCUUUUUUUUAUGCAGUUGCAAUCAGCGUCAGUAAAAACAAUGUAAUUAUUACAACUUUCAACAACGGAUCUCUUGGUUCUGGCAUCGAUGAAGAACGCAGCGAAAUGCGAUACGUAGUGUGAAUUGCAGAAUUCAGUGAAUCAUCGAAUCUUUGAACGCACAUUGCGCCCUUUGGUAUUCCAAAGGGCAUGCCUGUUCGAGCGUCAUUUGUACCUUCAAGCUUUGCUUGGUGUUGGGCGUUUUUUGUCUCCCUCUUUCUGGGAGACUCGCCUUAAAACGAUUGGCAGCCGGCCUACUGGUUUCGGAGCGCAGCACAUAUUUUGCGCUUUGUAUCAGGAGAAAAGGACGGUAAUCCAUAAAGACUCUACAUUUUUAUCUAUUGACGUCCGAUCAGGUAGGGAUGCCCGCUGAACUCAAACGUAUCACUAAG